CGGUCUCACCAACGGGGAGCUUUAUUACAAGAUUGGCGAGACGAGUGGCACACUUGGAUUUCCAUCUGGUUUAUUUGCAAAUGUGGGUGUUGGAGGCAUUCUAAGCGGAGGGGGUUACGGCAUGAUGAUGCGAAAGCACGGCCUGGCUGCUGACCACGUGAUCGAUGCUCGCCUCAUCGACUCAAACGGAAGAAUUCUCGAUAGAAAAGCCAUGGGAGAAGAUUGGUUCUGGGCUAUUAGAGGAGGUGGUGGUGGAAGCUUUGGAGUUGUUAUUUCCUGGAAAGUUAGAUUACUUCCUGUGCCUAAGAAGGUGACCGUUUACAAAGUCUACAGAACAAUUGAACAAAAUCUCACUAGCAUUUUUCAUCGCUACCAAUCUGUUGUACCCAAGUUCCCGAAAGAGCUUAUGAUCAAGGCCGAUGGACAGAGCAUUGUGAGCAAUUUGAGUCGUCGAGCGGAUAAGAGAACAAUGCAAUUCUUAUUCGAGGCCUUAUACCUAGGCAGCGCGGAUAAGAUGCUCUCCGUGAUGCAAGGCCAGUUCCCUGAGCUUGGCGUGGUACGGGAGGACUGUUUUGAAGUCAGCUGGCUCCAGGCCAUGGUGUACUUUUCAGGUUUCGACUUGUUUACGCCUCCUGAAAUAUUGCUCAACCUCACUGUUUUGCCUCGGCCUGCUUUCAAAUCAAAUAAUGACUACACUGAAGUGCCUAUUCCGGUACAAGGGCUAGAAGGUCUGUGGGAUCUCAUGUACAAACUUCCUCCAACAAAAGCAACUUUACAGUUUACACCUUAUGGAGGAAGAAUGGAUGAAAUUUCGGAAUCUGCACUUCCGUUCCCUUAUAGAGCUGGAACCUUGCUAAAGUUCAACAGGUUCGCAGAAACGGAUACAGAUGAAGCUGAACGCAUGGAAUGGAUCAAGACCUUAGCAAAAUAUUUGACUCCUUAUGUUACAAAGAAUCCGAGAAGUGCAUAUGUUAAUUAUGUGGACUUGACUAUGGGGAGUAAUAAUCUCAAAGGUGCCACAAGCUACCAGCAGGCGAGUAGAUGGGGGAAACGAUACUUCAAGAAUAAUUUUGACAGAUUGGUUAAAAUCAAAUCGGCUGUGGAUCCUGAUAACUUCUUCAGACAUGAACAAAGUAUUCCUCCCAUCUCGAUUUGAAAAUAUAAGAACUAGCUUGUUAGAAUCAACCACAACAUGUAUGUAUUAUCUCAUUUAUUCAUUUUUCUGGAGCUCUCAUUAAUAGAGACAGUGAUAUGACUAUAGCGAAAUGUUGACAUCCUACACUGUGGUAACCGGUAAUUGUUUUAAUUUGAAAUAAUAAGAGAUAUCAUAUCUUCAUUCCUCUGUAUCAUAUCUCUGAUACUGAUGUAAAUGUUUUAAUUUAUACUAAUUUUUGAAUUUUUUUAAUUAAAUUCUAAAUAGAAUCUUAAUUCACAGUUACUUUUUUAUUUCAGAAUAUAUCAUGUCAUCAAAUAAAUGAUUUAAAAUAAGAUAUACAUUUGAAACAAAUUUUAUUACUCGUCUAAUCUCAUAAACUACCAAGAAAGUUUAAAAUAAUUACAUACUAAUAAGAGAGUAAUUUGAUUUUGCAAAGAUACCGAUCAAAUAAUAUAGGUGGAAACCCCCUGAUGAGGGAUGUCUUAAAGUUAAUGUGGAUGCCUCGGUGCACCCUGGAGCUUCUUCUUUUACAAUUGGUAUGUGUUGGAGCCAAAGUUCUGCCGGAUGCCGAAGCCUGAAAGUGACCUGAAAUAUAGAAGAAUGCGAGGGAUUGUCCCCCCGAUUCACCUCCGGCGUGAGAAUAAGUUAGUGGCUCUAGGAAGGGGUUUAUGGAACUGCAAGCGUAAGUGUGUAUGUAUGAGAGUGUAUGUGAAUGUGUUUUACCCCUGGUUUACCUCCUUUAUAUAGGGGGACGAGGAUCCCUGUUGUGUAACGUCCCCGCCCGAUGCGGGAGGGAAGUGAUGGCGAGUUAAUGAGGCGGGAUCUCCGCCCUUCGACCGUUGUGGACUAGGAGCGUUGAUGGAUGUUCAAAUAAUGGGCUGGGCCUUUCUUGGGCCUUGGCGUAUUGGGCCGAGGCUCAUACUCCAACAUGUCCCCAGGCUUCGGUCGGGUUGUAAACGCGGCCGAAGUCUGAGUUUGCUUCGACUGACCGACCGGAGGAGGCGUUAGGCUGGGAGAUCGACAGGUGCUUCGGUGUGAUUUCAAAGUGUCUGACCCGAAUGGUGCAAGGGGUCGUGUGAGUGGGUUUUGCCUUGAUGACGUUACCUCGAGAUUCGUGUUGGAUCUGGGCCGUGCAUUCCAAAGGGUGCCAUAAAUGAGGCGCGCCUUUUCAUAAUUUUGUUUAUAAAUACAAAUCAUUACUCGGUUUCUUUUCAUAGUUCCAACAUCUCUUCAUUUUCCUUGCAACUCCCCGCUCUCUCAAACUCUUACUCUCCCAGCAACCGGCGGCAGUCCCAGUUCCGGCGUAUCUCCACCACCUCUUUCCGUUCUUUCUCCAACAAGUAAGUUCCUCUUCCUUCCUCGUUGAUUUCUUUUACUGUCUUUGUAGAAUGCUGCUAGAUAUCGUCGAUUCUUUGUAUUGUAUUUUCCGGUGAAAGUUUUUCGCCGGUUCGUAAAUAUUUGUCGAUCGCCGGUGGUUUUCUUUUGCUGUUUUGUUCAUAUUGUAAUGCUAUCUUGUUGAGUUGUCGUAGAUUAGAAUUGUGGUUGGGGUAUUCUGGCGGUUCUCGAGUUUUCAACUCGGGCAUUGCCGUUGUCUUUUCCCCCCGCUUGUUGCUUUCUUUGCGUGUUGUCUUGUCGCUUGGGUUGGUUUUCUAGGGUUAGGUUUUGUCUAAGCCCCGUCGGCCCGACCCGAUUCGGCCCUCUGUACUCGGGCUCGCCUCUUUUUCAUUUCUUCUUUCUUUCCGAGUACAUGGCUUAUGUUUGCCUUCUCUCGUUUGCAGGCAAAUGGAUCGGUCGGGUGACGUUGUGGGACCUCUUACUCGGCUGCGGACCACUUCAGCGAUGCGCUGAAGUUUCCAAUGGCCAACUUUCCUUCCCUACUGACCGAAGCCGAUCUGAAGACGUUUCGGAUAAAAUAUCAGAUUCAUCGGUCGUGGGAUAUUUACCCGGCCAUAGCGAACGACUGCAUAUACCAAACUCCUGAGUCGGAGGACGGUCAUAAGUGCGUGGGCAUCUCCGAGAAUGCCUUCAAGUGCGGCUUUCGGCUUCCGAUGCUUCCCCUGCUGAAGAAACUCCUGAAGCAGACGGGGAUCGCCCUAGGCCAGUUGGACCCGAACGGAUUCACGUACAUUAACGUUUUCCAGCAUCGGUGUCUGAUGGCUGGCGUGUCUCCUCGGCCAGCCCUUUUCUGGAAUCACCACGAUUUUAAGAAAAAUGCCAAGAGCAAUGGCUUCUACACCAUCGGCCGCAAGACCGGCCGACCGAAUUGGUGUGAAACCAAUUCGAGCAACAAAGGGACCCACGAACGAUGGUUCUAUCUAGGGGGCCACUCGAUCCAUAAGUUUUCCACGUGGAGGGAGGUCGACCCCUCAAUCAUCACCACUCCCCUUCUGGUCGGCAAGGACCUAGAGGACUUUGAGAAAUUAAGCAAAGUCCAGGAGCCGAACCGGAUCUUGCUAUCGACGAGCCGGGAGAAGGAGUGCCUCUUUACUCUUUGGGGUAGUGACGGUAGUCUCCCUGUUUCUCCUAGGCAUUUCCUUCGUUAUUCAACUGUUUCGUUUAUAUUUGUGAAUUGCUCUGACACUUGUUCUUUUGUGCAGUGUCUUCUCGGACCGAAGCCCUAAAGCGGAAGACGGCGAAGGCCAUGGCGGCCAAGAAGGAGGCCGAAGCAAAGGCCCGUGGCGAAACAACAGUUGGUGCCAUAGUCCAGGCGGAUGUGGCUAGGGAGAAGGCUCCGGAGGUUGGUCGUACGGAUGGGGCGACCGAGAAAACCUCCGAGGUCGUGGAGGUUCCGGCCACCGAAGCUUCCAGGAAGAGGAAUAGGUCGGACGACUCGUCUGAAGUCCGGCCGUAUGUUCCGGAGUGGUCGGUUCUAGUGACCGAUUCCAUUGCGAUCCUGGCUCCGGAUCGGAUCAAGGAUGUCGCAGGCGAUCUGUGCCGAUCGCAAGUUCUCCCGGCCGACCGGGGGACUUAUGAUUCAGCCACUGCUCUCCAGGCGUGCGAGCAACUGAUGUGCUUCCUCUCCUUGGUAAGUGUCUUCGUUCUUCACUUUUUCGUUUUAUAAACCCUGAAUGCAUCUUUUAACUUGUCUAAUUUUGUGCAGGCUUCUCCCUGGGCGGCGGCGGUGACCGAUAAGGUCCAGGACAUGCAGAAGCAGAUGGCUGGGGUCAACGCCCUUACUAUCCGAGCCAAUCUCGCCGAAGAUACCCUGGCGGCCCUAAAGACGGAGCUGGAUGCCGCUCAUCAGGAGGUGAAGGACCUUCGGGAAUCCGAAGGUCGUCUAAAGGGGCAGGUCGACACUCUGAGCAAGAGGGUUCAGCGUCGCAACUUGGCGUUGAAAGCCGCCCGGAAGAAGGAGAAGAAGGCGAAGAAGCUUCUGGAGAAGACCGAAGAUCGGUUUCUGGAUAUAGGCUAUGAUGAGGCCGUUCGCCGGGCCCACAAGGAAGGGUUGGAUCACAAGCUUCUUCUUGACGAAGGGGCUUCGGAUCCAGUCGGCCGUGAGGACCCGGACGACCCUAUUGUAGUCUCAUCCGAUCCAGAUUCCGAUUAUUCGGAGUAGUGUAGUUUCAGUAGUUUGUUUGCCUUCGGGCUUGUAUAAAUAUUUUGCCUUCGGGCUUUUAAUUAAUUUUGCCUUCGGGCUUGCUUUCAAUACUUGGUUUAUCUCCAUACAUGUGUCUUUUUCCGAUGUACGUCUUCGAUAAUGUUAAUGCAUGUCUUUGACUAAAUUGUCUCGAUGCGAGUUAUAAGUGUCGUAUGGCGUAGGCCGAGCGAUCGGUCUCGACACAGUUUUAGAGUUUAUGCAUGUCUCCGACCGAAGAGUCUCGAUACAUGUUUAUUUUGAGUUCAAGUUAAUGUUAUGUAUGUCUCCGACCGAAGAGUCUCGAUACAUGUUAUCAUAAUUUUCAAGUUGUACAUCUUUAGCCUCGAAAUCGGCUUCAGCACAAUGCCUCUGGAUUCCCCCAAUAUUUGGAGAUUGUUACUAUCUGUAAGUUAGGAAUUCGAUCGGCCCCAUUUAGAGAUAGAAACAAUCGUGCAAAUAUUUAGGUUAAUCAUGGCCACCUCUUUCGGUCCCGUAUCUUAAUCAGGUUGCCCCGAGUUACGGGAUCGAAUGGAGUGCUAAACAAGUUAUAACUAUCCAACAUUUGAAAUAGGAACUUUUAUUCAUCAUAAGGGAAGGAAUUACAUAACUGGAACUUUAAAAAGGAAAAUAUUCGGGCGGGAGGCCUUACUGAUAGUAUUUCCGGAGUUGGGAAGCAUGCCAAGUAUUCUUAAUGGGGCUUCCAUCCAAAGCUGCUAGUUUGUAGGUUCCCGGCCGAAUGAUCUCGACAACAGUGUAAGGUCCUUCCCAGUUUGGCAUAAGCUUGCCUUGCUUUGUUGGCAUAGAAGUUGCCAGAUCCCGGAGAACCAUGUCCCCAACUCUGAAGGAACGCUUUCGGAUACCCGAAUCAUAAUACUGAGAUGCUUGCUGUUGGUAUCGGACAUUCCUCUGAUGGGCGGCUUCUCUUUCUUCUUCUAGGAGAUCCAGGUUGCCUCGGAGGCCAUAUUCAUUAGUAUCGGGGUUGAAGACCUGGGUUCGGUAAGAUUCCAGGCCAACCUCAACUGGAACAAGUGAGUCGGUCCCAUAAGCUAACCGAAACGGCGUUUCUCCUGUCGAAGAGCGAGGAGUGGUUCGGUAUGCCCACAGGACCCAAGGGAGCUCUUCGGCCCACAGUCCCUUAGCUUCUCCAAGGCGCUUCUUGAUUCCGUGAAAGAUGAUCUUGUUAGCUGCCUCGAUCGCCCCGUUUCCUUGGGGAUGACCGACCGAGCUGAACCUUUGUUGAAUGCCGAAGCUGGCCAGGAAUUCUUUGAACUUUCUCCCAACAAACUGAGUGCCAUUGUCGGAGACACACACCAUCGGUAUGCCGAACCUCACGAUUAUUUGCUCCAGGAAGAAUUUCUUGGCGGCCUGUUCGGUGAUAACUGAGAGUGGUCGGGCUUCGACCCACUUUGUCAUGUAGUCAAUGGCCACUAUGCAGUAUUUGGCCUGCCUGGUGCUGGUCGGUAGGAUUCCCACUAUGUCGAUGGCCCACAUGGAAAAUGGUAUUGGGCUGAGGACCGAAGUCAUUUCUUCUGGGGGUUGCUUCGGAACAUUGCUAUGGAUUUGACACUGCCGGCAUUUCUUUGAAUAGUUGGCUGCAUCUUCCCUAAGGGUCGGCCAGAAGAAACCCUGUCGGAGUAUCUUUAGGGCUAGGGAUCUGCCGGCCAGGUGUUCGCCGCAGAUUCCUUCAUGAACCGUCUCCAGGGCUAGAAGCUGUUCCUCCGGAUCCAAGCAUCGGAGCAGGGGCUGAGAGACUGAUCGUCUAAAGAGUCGGCCCCCGAUCAGUGUGUAGCUAGCUGCUCGGUACUUUAUCUUUUGAGCUUCCUUCUUCUCUAAAGGCAAGAACCCCUUCUCCAAGUAGGCUCUGAUGGGAGUCAUCCAAUUUAUGCCUUGAUGAAUCUCCAGGCAAGCUUUCUUGUCGACCGAAGGCGCUUUUACCUCCGUCAAGUAGAUUGAUCCCGUCAAAUUUUGUGUUUCGGCCGAGGCCAAGCGAGAGAGAGCAUCGGCCCGGCCAUUGUCCUCCCGACCGAUGGCGCUUAAUUCAAAUGUUUCAAAGAACUGAGUCUGUUCCCGUACCUUGGCGGCGUAAGCCUUCGUUCGAGGCUCUUUCUGUUCAUAUUCUCCGGAAAAAUGUUUGACGACAAGCAUGGAGUCACUAAAAGCCCUCAAAUGCCUUACUUCCAGAUUUUUUGCCAAACCCAUUCCUGCCAGGAGGGCUUCGUAUUCAGCCUCAUUGUUGGUCAAAGGGAAAGUGAAUCGGAUGGCUUGACAAAUCUCAAAUCCAUCGGGACUGGAAAGGAUCAGUCCGGCUCCACACUUUGACCCGGCCACCGACCCAUCUACAAACAGUUUCCACUUUCCUGGAAUUCGUAUGAGCUGUUCUUUCGGCUCCAAAUCCUUCGGCCCCGAAAAAAUGCACUCCACCAUGAAGUCAACCAAGGCUUGGGCUUUUAUGGCUGUUCGGGGAACAUAUUCUAAGUCAUAUUCCCCCAAUUCUAUAGACCAGGCGACGACUCUGCCCGAAGCCUCCGGUCGGCUGAAGAUCUUCUUCAAAGGUUGGUCGGUGACCACUUGUAUCGUUCGCCCUUGGAAAUAGUGUCGCAAUUUUCGGGAGGCCAUGACCAGCCCAUAUGCGAACUUCUCGGCAUUCGGGUAUCGGGUUUCGGCAUCCCUCAACAUAUGAGACACAUAGAAGACCGGAUGUUGGUUCUUCUCGUGUUCCUUCACUAAGACCGCACCAAGGGUUCGGUCACUUACUGCCAAGUACAGCUGGAGGGUCUCCUUCGGAUCGGGCCUCAGCAGUAGGGGGGCUUUAACCAGAUAUUCUUUUAUUUCUUCGAAGGCCUUUAUGCAGUUCGGCCCCCACUCAAAAUUUUUUGCUCCUUUCAGAACUUCGAAAAAAGGGAGCGCCUUUUCUGCCGACCGAGAGAUGAACCUUCGGAGGGCUGCCAGUCGGCCAGUUAACUUCUGAAUGUCCCGAAUGGUCUUCGGGGCUUCCAUUUCUAACACUGCCUUUAUCUUUUCAGGAUUUGCUUCGAUCCCCCUUGCACUGACCAUGUACCCUAGGAACUUGCCACUACAAACCUCGAAGGUGCACUUGGCGGGGUUGAUCUUCAUGUUGUUCCGUCUUAGGGUCUCAAAGCAUUCUUUGAGAUCAUCGGCAUGAUCCCGAAACAAGGAUUUUACUAUCAUAUCAUCGACGUAGCAUUCCAUGUUUCGGCCUAUCUGAUCGGCGAAGACUUUGUUCACCAUCCUUUGAAAAGUGGCCCCCGCAUUUUUCAGACCGAAGGGCAUCUUGAUGUAAGCAUAGGUUCCCUUCGGGGUGAUGAAUGCUGUCUUAGGAAUAUCCUCGGCAUCCAUGGCGAUCUGAUGAUAGCCUGAAAACGCGUCCAAAAAGCUGAGUAUUUGAUAGCCAGAGGUGGCAUCUAUCAGCUGAUCGAUGUUCGGCAGAGGGUAAUGAUCCUUCGGGCAAUUUUUGUUGAGGUCGGUAUAAUCGACACACAUUCUCCAUUUGUUGUUUGACUUUUUGACCACCACCACAUUUGCCAACCACUCAGGAUACUCAAUUUCUUCAAUAAACUUGGCCUCCAGUAACUUCUCCACUUCGGCCUCAAUCACCUUCUGCCUUUCCACAGCGAAGUUCCUCUUUUUCUGCUUAACGGGCACAGCCUGUGGAUGAACAUUUAGCCUGUGCCGAGCGAUCGACUCAUCCAACCCCGGCAUAUCUUCGGGCCCCCAGGCAAAAACAUCAUGGUACCGACGGACCACAUUAAUCACCUUUUCCUUCAGUUCUGGUUCCAUAUCUUUACCGAUCCGAACCAUUUUUCCCGAGCACCCUGCAUAUAGUUCCACCUCUUCGGUCUCAGUGCCUGGUUCGGCUAUCGGGUUUGAGAGAUCAUUUCCAAACUUCUCCAAUUCAAUAUGUAGGGCAUGGCCGCUGCCCCCAGGACCAUCUUUGGGUCGGCGCCGUUUGUUUCCUUCGGCGCCGCCUAGAUCCUUGUCCUUCUCCAAGUCUUCCAGCAUAAUGAUCCUAGCAGCCUUCUGAUCACCUCUCAUCUCUCCCACCCCUUUCUCGGUCGGGAACUUCAACUUGAGAUGGGGGAUAGAGGCAAUGGCUUCGAAAGUAGUGAGAACGGGUCUCCCCAAGAUGGCAUUGAAAGGACUCUCGACUCGGACCACAUAGAAUUUGAGCUGUUUUUCCACAGUAUAAGGGGAUUCACCGAGCAACAAGGGCAAGUGGAUCGUACCUUCGAUCGGGACGGGCUGAUUGCCGAACCCAUAGAGAGAUGCCUCAUAGCAGGUAUCGAUCUGCUUGCCUUCCAAGCUCAUCUGCUGGUAGGUGUUGUAGUAGAGGACGUUAACAGAACUUCCUCCAUCGACCAGGACCUUCCAGAUCUUGUUCUGACCGAUCACGGGAUUAAUGACCAAUGGAUCCUCGUGCGGCAGCAUAACGUCUUCAUAGUCUUCUUGUGAGAACAUUAUAGGGUACGACUGUUUGGUGGAGUUGAUGCUAUAGAGGUUGUAGACCUGUCGGGCGUACCUCUUCUUGGCUGUCUUGCUACUCCGGUCCAGAAUUGUUCCUCCAAAUAUCGUUCGGACCUCGCCUCUGUACCUCUCACCUUCUUCGGGCGCUUUCCCUUUAUCUUCUUUGGGACCCAACCGAUCCCUCAGAUCUUUAACAUACUGGUUCAAAUCACCAGCCUUGACCAUCCUUUCUAUCAACCUCUUCAAGUGGUAGCAUUCAUCGGUAUUAUGACCGUUGUCCCGAUGAUAGUCGCAAUACUUAUCAGAGUUUUUCUUGUAAUCUGGGAUCUUCAUCUUCGGUGGCCGAACGAAUCCUGGUUUCCCCUUAAUCUCGUUCAGAAUCUUGGAGACAGAUGUAUUCAGAGGAGUGAACACAGUGCUGUCUCUAUCUCUCCUUCGUUCGGCCCCUCUGUCCAGCUUCUCAUCCUUUUCAUCUCUUCUGCUUCGGUAGCCAUCAUUUCUUUUUCCUUUGCCGUCCGAACGGGAACUGUACCGAUCAUCUUUCCGGUCAUUCUUAUGUCCCCCGAUGGACUCCAUUUUCCUUCUGAUGCUCUCCCCCCGCAAGUAAAUGUCGUUCAACGACUUGGGAGGUAUAUCGUACAAGGACGACCGGAGCUUCUUACCCUUCACCGGAUCCAGACCAGCCGUCAGGAACCCUGCAGCCUUCACCUUAUCCAGGUUAGUGACCAUCCCAGCUUCUUCCUUGAACCUAGCCAAGUAAUCCCCUAGCUCCUCAUUAGGCCUCUGUCUGCAAUGAAUAAGGGCUUCUGUAUCCUUCUCUCUUCGGCACAAGUGAGAGUAGUGCCUCAAGAACUUGCGUUUCAGUUGAUCAUAAGAGCUGACCGACCUUGGCCGCAAGGAUCGGUACCACAUCGUAGCAGAUCCCUUUAGGUAGGUCUUGAACAUCUUGCAUAGCAUGAUGUCACAAUGCCCCAUUCCGGUCAUAAGGGAUUCGUACUUGUCGCAGUGAUCGAUCGGGUCACCCUUCCUGUUAAAUUCAUUCAUUUUCGGGAACUGCCACCCUGGGGGUGGUCGAUAUUGCUCGAUCUCUUCGACUAUUACUGGCUCAUGGGUCAACGUUUUGUCCCCAAACAUGGCCUUCUCCAUUCGGCGGAGUCGGUCCCUAACGUGGGGGCCUUCCUCCCCUUCGGAAUCCGAAGGUGUGACAUGCCUGUGACGAGGCCCUCGGGAGUGCGACUCGGAGUCCGAAGACCCGUCUUGGUCUUCCCGAUUUCUCUUCUUAUUUCCUUCGCCUUCUGGCGCUCGAUCUCCUUCGGCCUCCAAGGCCUCUCGGAGGGCUCUCUCUUGGAGCUCAAUUUCUUCCCUUUGUAGCUGGAGGGCCUUCAGCCGCAGUUCAUCGGCUUCCCUCUUCUUGGCUAAUCGGGCAGCUUCUUGCUCUUUGGUCUUGGAAGAUUGGGCUUUAGCAGCCUGCUCUUCUCGCCAUUUCAACAGCAUCUGCUGUUGCUCUUCGGGAGUGGGCAACAGCCCUUCGGGACUGUUGCCAAAGUCAAAACCGGGGUUUGGGUUGGAGGUGUUUCCAGUGGUUUGUUCGGUUGUGUUUGUCAUGGUGUUGUUUUACAAGAAAUUCUACUUGCAGUUCCCACAGACGGCGCCAAUGUUGGAGCCAAAGUUCUGCCGGAUGCCGAAGCCUGAAAGUGACCUGAAAUAGAGAAGAAUGCGAGGGAUUGUCCCCCCGAUUCAUCUCCGGCGUGAGAAUAAGUUAGUGGCUCUAGGAAGGGGUUUAUGGAACUGCAAGCGUAAGUGUGUAUGUAUGAGAAUGUAUGUGAAUGUGUUUUACCCCUGGUUUACCUCCUUUAUAUAGGGGGACGAGGAUCCCUGUUGUGUAACGUCCCCGCCCGAUGCGGGAGGGAAGUGAUGGCGAGUUAAUGAGGCGGGAUCUCCGCCCUUCGACCGUUGUGGACUAGGAGCGUUGAUGGAUGUUCAAAUAAUGGGCUGGGCCUUUCUUGGGCCUUGGCGUAUUGGGCCGAGGCUCAUACUCCAACAGUAUGAUUCAACGAGAUCAUAAUGGCUCUUUCAUUCAAGGGAAAAAUAUGUGUUUGCCUAACCCAGGUACUGACCUAGAAGCUGAAGGCUGAAGCUAUUGGUAUUCAAGAAGCCUUAGCAUGGAUAAAGAAUAGUGAGGCCCAGAGCAUAAUCAUGCACUGAGUCUGACUCCUUGCUGGCGGUUAAAGCUAUUCAGGGGAAUGUGCACUAUCAGAUUGAGGUAGGUGAUGUUCUGGAAACUUGUCGCAAUAGUUUACAUGCUAAGUGCGGAACUUCCAUUCAUUUUGUUCGAAAGCAAGCGAAUAAUUAAGGUGGCUCAUGAAAUAGCUAGAUUACCUUGUUCAUUAGAUUGCUUUAAUAUUUUUACGUCUCCUCCUGUUGCGGUGGAGACCAUCUUGUAUGACAUUUCAAGUUAAUGAAACCAUUUUCUUUCAAAAAUAAAUAAAUAAUAAUAUAUCAGAAUGAUCACAUAUCUUAUUUAAUUUAAAUAUUUCUUCAAGCACUAACAUAUAUAUAAUGCAAGUAUUGGCAUAUAUAUAUAUAUAUAAGCACAUUUAAAACACAUUUUCAAAAUUCGGAAUAACAUAAUUUUCAUAAACACGUUUUGCAAUCUUAAUGCAAAAAUACUUAUUACAAUAAGAUAUAUUAAUUCGUUUUCACCAUGAUUAGUUUAAACUGAUGAAAAUAAUUUUAAACUGCUCUACAUAUAAUAAUUUCCCGCAAGUCUAAAAAUGAAACAAGAUUUAACGUAACUAGACCUUUCUGCUAUCAUCUCUAUUGAUCAGUCCAUUAUUGAUAUUUACAUAAAAAAGAAAGUUCAUUUAUUUAUUUGGGAUAUGUGAUAUAAAUUCCUCAAAAGAUUAACAAUGAAAACUGAAUCAGAAUGUGCAUGAAGACAUAGGUGGUGUUUGGCUACGGCUUUUAAGCCGACUUCUGGGCUUAUAAGUUAGAAGCACUUAUUUCGUACUGUUUGUGUAAUAAGUCAAGAAGCACCUAUAAAAAGCUAGGAAUGCUAGCUUUUGUUUCAGGACUUCUGCUUAUUUGCCAAACACUUUAAUCACUUAUAAGUCUUGUAUGGCUUCUAACUUCUACUCCACUUAUUUAUUUUAAGCAAUAAGCAUUUAUUUUAAGCUCAGCCAAACGGCCCCAUUGUCUGUACCACACGUAACAAAAGAGUUGCUCAAGUCACCCAAUUUUGAGUUUUGUGAUCACCGGUGCAUAAUGUGUUGAAUCCUGCUUUUAACUUUUUCCAGUUACUCAAUUAUUUUCAAGAAAUGUUCCAAUAAUCAGCCAGCUACGGACUUGCUCAAAGUCUAACAAUAAUGAUAUUAUCUUAUAUGUCAACUAUUGCUCUUGAAAAACAUAUAUAUUAUUAUAUAUUUUUCCUAAUAACGGGGAAUAUAGUCGUUUUCUUAACGAGCAUAUACUCUUUUAUACUCCAUUGAAGAAGACAUUUGGAUGUAUUUACGAGGGAGAAUGGAACUAGAAACCACGAAGGACAAAUAAAUACAAAGAAUAGUGUGAAUAAAUGUGCUGAAACGUCUAUAAUGAUGAUCUGUAGAAAAGAAUUACAUAAAUAAUAUAGAGAAUUCUUUUGGUUAUAUUUUGCAAGAAAUCUAUUGCUAAAAGAUAUUUGCCUAGUCUUUCGCCGUACAUACUGUUUAUACCGGGCAUCUUCAAAUCUUUAUAAUUAACAAUGCUGCUUUUAACUAACACACACAUAUUUUUGGCUUACCCAAUUUCACAUAUAUAAGUUUUUCUGAAUAAAUUUGUGAUGACCUUUGUAAAUUCAUGGAUCAAAAUAUUUUCUUAUANUAUAUAUAUAUAUAUAUAUAUAUAUAUAUAUAUAUAUAUAUAUAUAUGAACUAUUAUAUGUUCCAUCUCCUGAGUUGACCUAUCAUGGAAAAUGAUAUGAUAUACUCUUUCCGUUUCACUCAUUUUUCUACGAUUUUUUUACUGAUCAACACGUAUUUUAAUGAUCUUAGAAAGUAUAAUUUGAUAUUUGAUUUUUAGUUUUUUUAAAUAAAAAUUUAAUAGUUAAAUUUUUAUUAAAAAAUUUUAAAAAUAAAUUAUAAAACUAUAUUUUAGUGAAAUAUUAAUAAUUAAGUGCGUGUCGCAUCUCAAACUUAUUUAAUUGAGGUGAACAGUGAAAGUCUAAUUAUGUUAAAAUUUUGGACAUAGAUUGAAAACAUGGUAUCUAAUAAGUUAGCGUGUGCAGUCUAAAGAAAAGAAAUGAUAGUUUGGUUUUGCAAGACCUAGCAAAGUAAAACACAAACAAACUGUUGCAUGACCUUUUCAAAACUCAAAGAUUUAUGCAAUAUUCAAUGUCGAAGCUGUCAACGGUCUCCCAUUUGUGUAUUAUUAGUACCACUAGGGCUGAAUGAAGCCUAUAAAUACCAUGCAAUCUUCAUUAUUCUAUCCAUAUCCAACACUAUCAACAUUCAAUACCAUCAAAUUCUUUACAAAGUACACAACCAAUAUCCAAGAUUAUGAAGAUAGCUGCAAUUACUACUUGUUUUCCUUACAUUCUACUUUUCUUGUCAUUUUCAUCAACAUUUACAUCAGCUCAAGAUCCUACACACAACUUCCUUCAGUGCCUUAAUCAUCACUCUCAUGACAUCUCCGAAUCCGUCUACACCCGAAAGAACACUAAUUUCUCCGAAACACUGCUCUACUCCAUUAAUAAUUUGCGUUUUGCAAAGCCUGAUACGCCCAAACCUCUGGUCAUUAUCAGGGCAGUGAGUGAAUCCCAGAUCCAAUCCGUGAUUUACUGCUCCAAGAAGCAUCAUUUGGACAUGAGAAUUCGGAGNACACGGGAAUUUCUUGAAAANCUUUCUUAUGUGUCCCCACUCCCAUUCGUCAUACUUGAUCUCGUCAACUUCAAAUCAUUCAGUGCCGAUACUAAAACCAACACUGCAUGGAUUGGCUCCGGUCUCACCAACGGGGAGCUUUAUUACAAGAUUGGCGAGACGAGUGGCACACUUGGAUUUCCAUCUGGUUUAUUUGCAAAUGUGGGUGUUGGAGGCAUUCUAAGCGGAGGGGGUUACGGCAUGAUGAUGCGAAAGCACGGCCUGGCUGCUGACCACGUGAUCGAUGCUCGCCUCAUCGACUCAAACGGAAGAAUUCUCGAUAGAAAAGCCAUGGGAGAAGAUUGGUUCUGGGCUAUUAGAGGAGGUGGUGGUGGAAGCUUUGGAGUUGUUAUUUCCUGGAAAGUUAGAUUACUUCCUGUGCCUAAAAAAGUGACCGUUUACAAAGUCUACAGAACAAUUGAACAAAAUCUCACCAGCAUUUUCCAUCGCUACCAAUCGGUUGCACCCAAGUUCCCGAAAGAGCUCAUGAUCAAGGCCGAUGGACAAAGCAUUGUCAGCAACAUCAGUCGUCGAGCGGAUAAGAGGACAAUAAUAUUCUUGUUCGAGGCCUUAUACCUAGGCAGCGCAGAUAAGAUGCUCUCCGUGAUGCAAGGCCAAUUCCCUGAGCUUGGCGUGGUAAGAGAGGACUGUUUUGAAGUGAGCUGGCUCCAGGCCAUGGUGUACUUCUCAGGUUUCGACUUGUUCACGCCUCCUGAAAUAUUGCUGAACCUCACUGUGUUGCCUCGGCCGGCUUUCAAAUCAAAUAAUGACUACACUGAAGUGCCUAUUCCGGUACAAGGGCUAGAAGGUCUGUGGGAUCUGAUGUACAAACUUCCUCCAACGAAAGCGACUUUACAGUUUACACCUUAUGGCGGAAGAAUGGAUGAAAUUUCAGAAUCUGCACUCCCGUUCCCUUAUAGAGCUGGAACCUUGCUUAAGUUCAACAGGUACGCAGAAACGGAUACAGAUGAAGCUGAACGCAUGGAAUGGAUCAAGACUUUAGCAAGAUUUUUGACUCCUUAUGUUACCAAGAAUCCGAGAAGUGCAUAUGUUAAUUAUGUGGACUUGACGAUGGGGAGUAAUAAUCUCAAAGGUGCCACAAGCUACCAGCAGGCGAGUAGAUGGGGGAAACGAUACUUCAAGAAUAAUUUUGACAGAUUGGUUAAAAUUAAAUCGGCUGUGGAUCCUGAUAACUUCUUCAGACAUGAGCAAAGUAUUCCUCCCAUCUCGGUUUGAAAAUAUAAGAACUAGUUAGAAUCAACCACAACAUGUAUGUAUGAUUUUGUUUUUCUGUAACUUGCAUUAAUUAAAAAGCAAUUAUUUUGAUGUUAUAUGUCUCUAAUAUGACUGCAGCGCGCGAAAUUGAAAUCUUUUUAUGAAAUUAAAAAGAUUGUGAAAUUAUGUGAGGGCAAUCAGAAGAUUGAGACCGACAAAGGGUGACGUUGUUGUCCUCCAAAUAUAUUUUAAUUAUGUAUAGUCAAUACUCCUUCCGUCAAUUUAUGGGUCCCUUUUGAAAAAAACUCGCAUAUUAAGAAAAUAGUUGGUUAAAUAUAAUUUUAUCUCAUGUAUCAAUAAUUAGUACUAUAUUGAUAAAGGAGAAUAGAGUUGAGUUCCAAAAAAAUCACAAAAAAUAUAGAGAUUUAGUGCAUUGAGAAAUGAGAAUAAUGUUGAGUUUCAAAAAACUCAUAAUUAAUAUAGAGAAAAUUUGUAUUGAAAAAAGAGUGGGACAAGUAUUUUGAGACAAAUUUUUUUUCUUCAAAAAGGACAUAUAAAUUGAGACGGAGAGAGUAGACUCCAAUUUCUGCUACUCAAUUGACCUUAAUGAUGAAAAUAGGAUAAAAAAUCUAUUUUAACCUGAUGCACGGUCUAGAGCAGCAUAUAAAGAGUUUGGAGAUGUUAAAAGCCUGCCCAAAACAAGAGAAGAAUAUACUGUAAUACUAUCGCAUUUCAAAUGUGUGUUAAUUCUCCAAGGACUUUGUCUCAGUGUUUUUGAUUUUGUUAAAAAAUAUGACAAGAAUUAAAGGAGAAUGUGCAUGAAGAUGAAGACAUGACCUGUACCACACGUAACAAAAGAGUUGCUCAAGUCACUCAGUUUUGAGUUUUGUGAUCACCCGUUCACAAUGUGUUGAAUCGCAGUUACUCAAUUAUUUUGAAGAAACGCCCAAUAAUCGGCCAGCUAGCCACAAGAGUCGAGACUUGCUCAAAGUCUAACAAUUGAUAAUGAUAUUAUUACCUUUUAUGUCAACGAUCGUUCUUGAAAAACAUAUUCUCAUGUCUCUUUCUAAUAAUUGGGCAUAUAGCGUCUUUCUUUCACUCUUAUAUAUAUAGAAGAGACCAUUUAUAUUUAAAAUAGAUGCUAGUUACCACGAAGGACAAAUAUAUAAAUAAAAUAGUUCAGAAACUUUUGAUGAUGUUUAGAAAAGAAGGGCAUAAAUAAAAUUGAUAAUUCUUUUUUUUGAAGAAAAAUUGAUAAUUCUUUUGAUUACAUUUUAUAAGAACUCUAUUGCUAAAAGAUAUUUGCCUGGUCUUUCUCGUCGUACAUACAUUUUUAACAAAACAUUUUCAGAUUUGUAUUAACAACGCUGUUUUUAACUAACAAACACGUAUUUUUGGCUUACAAAAUUUCAUUACAAUUUUUUCUAGAUAAAUUUCUGAUGACUUCUCAAAAAUCAUGAAUCAAAUUAUUUUAUUAUCAUGUGCCUGUUUGGCAAGGCGGGAGAAACAUUUCUUUUUCAAAGAAGUUGGCUUCGGCUUUUUGUGACCCCUUGGUGUAAAAACGUAUAAGCACUUUUUAGAAUUUGCAAAUGAUAGCUUUUGUCUGAGAGGUUCAAUUCUUUUCCAGACAGUUUAAUCAUUUAUAAGCCUUAACUUGUUUUUUAAAUUUUACUUCAUUUUUUUAUAUUAAUCAAGAAAAAUUUAUUUUAAUCUCAUUCAGACGGUCUCAGUAUAUAAACUAUAAUUUGUUCAAUCACCUGACUUGAUCUAUCAUCGUAGGAUAUACAAUUUUAAAUAGAUAUAUAAUUAAGUUAAAAUUUUGGACAUAAUUGAAGACAUGCUACAGUCUAACAAAUUAGCGUGUGCAGUCUGAAGAAAGAAAUGAUAGUUUGGUUUUGCAAGAAACUGUUGCUUGACCUAGCAAAUUAAAAAACAAACAAAUUGUUGCAUGACCUUUUCAAAACUCAAAGAUUUAUUAUGCAUUCAAUGUCGAAGCUGUCAACGGUCUCCCAUUUGUGUAUUAUUAGUACCACUAGGGCCGAAUGAAGCCUAUAAAUAUCAUGCAAUCUCAUCAUUCUAUCCAUAUCCAACACUAUCAACAUUCAAUACCAUCAAAUUCUUUACAAACAAUAUCCAAGAUUAUGAAGAUAGCUGAAAUCACUACUUGUUUUUCUUACAUUCUACUUUUCUUAUCAUUUUCAUCGACUUUUUCAUCAGCUCAAGAUCCUACACAGAGCUUCCUUCAGUGCCUUAAUCAUCAUUCUCGUGACAUCUCCGAGUUUUCCUACACCCUAAAGAAUACUAAUUUCUCCCAAACACUGCUCUACUCCAUUAACAAUUUGCGUUUUGCAAAGCCUGAUACGCCUAAACCUCUGGUCAUCAUCAGGGCAGUGAGUGAAUCCCACAUUCAGUCUGUGAUUUACUGCUCCAAGAAGCAUAAUCUGGACAUGAGAAUUCGGAGCGGGGGUCACAGUUUCGAGGGUCUUUCUUACGUUUCCCCACUCCCAUUCGUCAUACUUGAUCUCGUCAACUUCAAAUCAUUCAUUGCCGAUACUAAAACCAACACUGCAUGGAUUGGCUCCGGCCUCACCAACGGGGAGCUUUAUUACAAGAUUGGCGAGACGAGUGGCACUCUUGGAUUUCCAUCCGGUUUAUUCGCAAAUGUGGGCGUUGGAGGAAUUCUAAGCGGAGGGGGUUACGGCAUGAUGAUGCGAAAACACGGCCUGGCUGCUGAUCACGUCAUCGAUGCUCGCCUCAUCGAUUCAAACGGAAGAAUUCUUGACAGGAAAGCCAUGGGAGAAGAUUGGUUCUGGGCUAUUAGAGGAGGCGGUGGUGGAAGCUUCGGAGUUGUUAUAUCCUGGAAAGUAAGAUUACUUCCAGUUCCUAAGAAAGUGACCGUUUACAAAGUCUACAGAACAAUUGAACAAAAUCUCACUAGCAUUUUCCAUCGCUACCAAUCGGUUGCACCCAAGUUCCCGAAAGAGCUCAUGAUCAAGGCCGAUGGACAAAGCAUUGUCAGCAACAUCAGUCGUCGAGCGGAUAAGAGGACAAUAAUAUUCUUGUUCGAGGCCUUAUACCUAGGCAGCGCGGAUAAGAUGCUCUCCGUGAUGCAAGGCCAAUUCCCUGAGCUUGGCGUGGUAAGAGAGGACUGUUUUGAAGUGAGCUGGCUCCAGGCCAUGGUGUACUUCUCAG
rnacentral:lncRNA from 1 species